rnacentral:snoRNA from 1 species
AGGGACCCUUAUCAGGGCUGUGGUGGCCUCCACACAGCUGCUGUGGUCAAAACGGAGCCCAGAGUGACAGCUCUUGGCGGUCACCAUUCUGUUUGCUAUAACCGAUCUAUGAUGUUUUGGGAAAAUACAGUU